rnacentral:rRNA from 1 species
UACGAAGGGUGCAAGCGUUGUUCGGAAUUAUUGGGCGUAAAGCGCACGUAGGCGGCCUUGUAAGUCUCACUGUGAAAGUCCGGGGCUCAACCCCGGGAUGCCAGGGGAUACUGCGAGGCUGGAGACAAGCAGAGGUUGGUAGAAUUCCGGGUGUAGCGGUGGAAUGCGUAGAGAUCCGGAGGAAUACCAGAGGCGAAGGCGGCCAACUGGGCUUGUUCUGACGCUGAGGUACGAAAGCGUGGGGAGCAAACAGG